rnacentral:rRNA from 1 species
CCUACGGGGGGCAGCAGUGAGGAAUAUUGGUCAAUGGACGCAAGUCUGAACCAGCCAUGCCGCGUGCAGGAUGACGGCUCUAUGAGUUGUAAACUGCUUUUGUACGAGGGUAAACCCCGAUACGUGUAUCGUGUUGAAAGUAUCGUACGAAUAAGGAUCGGCUAACUCCGUGCCAGCAGCCGCGGUAAUACGGAGGAUCCGAGCGUUAUCCGGAUUUAUUGGGUUUAAAGGGUGCGUAGGCGGUUAGAUAAGUUAGAGGUGAAAUGUCGGGGCUCAACCCCGAAACUGCCUCUAAUACUGUUGGACUAGAGAAUAGUUGAGGUAGGCGGAAUGUAUGGUGUAGCGGUGAAAUGCUUAGAGAUCAGACAGAACACCGAUUGCGAAGGCAGCUUACCAAACUAUAUCUGACGUUGAGGCACGAAAGCGUGGGUAGCAAACAGGAUUAGAUACCCGUGUAGUC